ensembl:lncRNA
CUUUUUUGGAGAGUAUUGCAGUCAGCAGAUUUGCAAUGAGUGUAUAUUUUCAAAAAUAAAUUAAAUUCUCAAAGUAAAACAUCAAAUAAUGUGUUAAUAAUGUGUUUUCAAUAUAGUACAGGGUGAACUGAAUUUUCAAAUGAAUCUUUUUUUGUUUUCUUUUGUUUUUGCAUUUGCCAUACUGUCCCAACUUUUUCAGAAUUGGGGUUGUUAAUACCAGGAAGCUGAAGCUCUAAACUUCUAAUAUCCAUGUGUUGACCUCAAACCCAAAUGUCUUCAGUAUUCAGCAAAAACAAUGGAAUUGGCCUUACUGUUCCAAUAGUUUUGCAGGGGACUGUAAUCAGGAAAUAGUGACAUAGCUUGGCAAGAUUUUUAUAGAUACUUAGGUAGUCGGUACCAAUACCACCAAACGUACACGAUACUCGAUACCACGGUGUGCGAUAAAAAUAAAAUUAAAAAAACUCUCCUGGAGGACAUCCUCCUCUGGCUGAGAGAGAGAGAGAGAGAGAGAGAGAGAGAGAGAGAGAGAGAGAUUGAUUGAUUUUAGUUAUCAAACACUGUCUGACAAUGAGUGGAGGCUACAGUGGAGGUACGAUAGCUUCAGUUGCACACCAGCUUCACAGCAUCAAUUACAUUUUGCUGUCAUCCACCUCGAACGCAAAGUAUUUCCAUAUUCCAUACCACAUUUCCUCUGAACAAAGGUGUCGUGGUAGAGCUAAACUUCUGUAGUUUUUCCCAUGUGCUCGUAGUUGUUGUUGUUGUUCUUCACUACUUGUGGACCGACUAAAACACUUGCGCAUAUUUGCUGCCCCCAUCAGGUCCGGAAGAAUUGCAACCUUGGUACCUCCAUUAGAAUCGGUUCCAAUACUACUCCAGAAAAACAAGUACCAGAAUGUUGGUACUGACUUGGUUCUCAUGACAUUCCUACUAUGAACACUGUCCUUAAAUAAAAUGUUACAUCAUUUUGCAGUAGAUUCUUUACAUUAUCUCUUUCCUUAAAAACCCUCCUGCGUAUAUGUUGUGUGUGCCAAUCCUUUGACGGCUCUGGCUCUCAGACCUCUUGAGAAGGCUCAAAGAGAGAGAGAGAGAGAGAGAGAGAGAGAGAGAGAGAGAGAGAUUAAGAGGCUGUCAAGGUGUCAAGGCGACCGAUUAAGAUUCUUGGUGUUCACUGCACUCAUUCAACACACCAUACCACUAAAUAUAUCAGUACUGUAUAGACCUGACAAUGAAAUCAUCCUAAUUACAUAAAGCCUAUCUAGCUGGUUUGACCAUAAUGCUUGAUGAACCAUCCCAAACCAUGAACUUGUUUCAAAUAACCCAUGAUGCCAGCCUUUUGUUUGUCAGUAAUAAAGUGUAAGUUUUUUGGUGUACCUUUUUCAAGAGACCAUGCUUAUUGCUAGAUUAAUAGAGAACCAAGAGGAGACAAGCUUUUCCUUUCCACAAAGGGAGGUGGGCAAAAAAUCAAUACACGGUUCAGUGUAGCUGAUGAAAAGCCCACACAGGAUGAUAGUUGCUGUGGAUUUUUAAUCGACUGUUGUGUUGACUGACCUGGCUUUUAAAUACAAUAUACUAGCUCAAGAUUGAUGUCCAUACAAGUAGCUAAGUGGGUUUAUUGCUUAUUAUGGCUGGCAAUAUUGGAGUGUUUAUUCAGUCAGAGAGGCUGAUGAGCUUUGAGGAUCUGGGUUUUGUAGUAAAUAAAAUCAUCCCCGCAUUGUUAUAUUCGUCAUUCAGCUUUGUGUAUUUGGUAAAUGCCAGGUGUUCUCAUCAUAAUUUCAAAUUCCGCAGUUGAAGAUGAAUCCGGCUGUUUCUCAUCUGAAAUCAGAAAGAUCAUUGAUCUAGCCGAUAAAAUGGCAUCCAGGGUGCAUUUAUUUUUGGACCGAGUAAGAAAGAACACAAUUAUCUUUCUGUAUUAGUAUUAUUGUAUUCGUAUAAUAAAAAUUUGCUGCACUGGCACAGUGUUACAUUGUUUAAUUGCAUGAUUUGACUGGGAAAUAUGAAUGAAUCUUUUUGUAUUGAUUCCCAGUUGAUUCUUUGUAUGAUUCAUGUCAGUUGCUUGAUUCAUUGUGGCUAGAAAUAUUAUGAGAAUAGUAAGAGAUAAAAGGGAAGAACUUGAGACAUCAUACAUGCAAACACACACGCACACACACACACGCACACACACACUCUCUCUCUGGAGUCAGGGUCAGAGCUUGGCAUGACUCGGCGGACUGGCACAGUUCAUUUGGUACUCCAGUUUCCAUGGCAACGGUCUGUGUGUGUGUUUUGAAUGUUUGCUGGGUGGAGCGAGAGCAGGAGUGUGUGUUUUUUGUGCUCUUCACAGUGCAAUUUGGAUUAUUUCCGAUUGAAGGCUACAGUUAUUACAAUGUGAGAGGAGUCAUUGCGCUCCUGCGAAAGAGAGCAAGAGAAAGAAAGUGAGAAAGAGUGAGAGCAUGGUGGGGUGGUACUUAGGGGCAGAUGGAAACAGUACAUAUGGUUUAGUUCACCAUCCUGUAAACAGAUGCUGCACUGUCUGAGUGGGACGUUGUUCCUCCUGAGCAUUGUGCAGCGUUCCUCUUAAUCUUUGUCACAGGUAGUAAGUCCCGCGUACCAGCCGCAUAGAGAAUUCCUUGUUCGACGUUGCUUUUUUCUCCCAAUUUCCAUCCUUUCUUUAUCAGCAUCUCUCUAUUGACUGAGAAAAAUAAGUGCAAAUUACUCAUUGAGUCUCCAGCUGUGUGAGCUCUAGUGAGAAUUGAGCUGACAGAACCAGAUGCUGGCAGCGUAGCACUCCUCUUUCUCUUUCUCUCUUGAGACUGCACGGCUGCAGCAGUGCUUUUAAUCAAACUGCCAACCUGGAUGGCAGAAGGGACAUCUUUUUCAUCCUCAUUCUCGUCCUCGUAUUAUUGUGGUCAUUUUGAUUAGACACCAUCUGGAAUAUGUUCCUUUCUUGAUUCACUUGAGAAAGACAUCAGUGUUGAGAAGGAGUUGCGCUAUGAAGAGGACGAGAAUGGAUAUUUAUGUAUAAAUAAUACAUAGUAUUAUCACCUAAAUAAGUGCUGUAGCAUGUAUAGAAGCUAAUGUUUGAAAUAUUUGAAAUUACACCACAUCGCAUUUGAAUUCUCAUAUAUCUGACUAGACCUGAUGAUUAAUUCACAGGGACUUGUAUCAUGGAUGCUUCACAUAAUAAUAAAGCCUAAAUAAUAAUUCAAUUGAUAAAAGUGUUGCUAUUUAACAGUGACAAAUGGUGUAGGUGUCUGUAAGGAUAUGUUUAUUUAUCAUUUAUGGAAGGAGUCUCAAGUGUCAGUGCUUUGUAACAGUACGUUUUCCACCACAGGAGAGUCUUCAGACUUUCCAGUUUCUCGGUAUCAUGAGAAGCUGAGAUUUUCUCAUUUUAUAAUCUUAAACAGAGAGAAAAAAAACAGAGAUGUUGAUGAGGGAAGGUUGAUUUAUACAGUAGCUACUAUAAUGUAAGUCAUAAUAGAAAGUCAUUUCUUUCACUGAUGUUCUACAGCAUUAAAUUAAAUCUAAUAAUUGCUGUGUUACAACAGGAAUAAAAAAUUUCAGGACAUGAUUUUAUUGAAAAAUAAUCCAUUUGUGGUGGGAACAGUAACUCUGCUGUGCAUCAGGCAUCACACUACCCUGCUUUUGAUUAUUUUCCCAUAACAGCCCACUCACGUCAUGUUUUAUUCCUUACAUAUAGCUAGAUAAAUGAAAACACACAAUAUGGCACAACAGGAAAGGAAUAUGGAAAGAAAUAUGGAAAUUACGCACAACUCAAGGUAUUUCUAUAUUUAUUUCUAAUUUUGAAAUGACUUGAACCUUCUGUUAAUCUUGUAAAAAGUCUCAUUGGAAAUAUGGUUCGCUGCUGAAAACCAGGAGCAUCAAUCAGACAAUGCAAUCUCGCCGGUUCUGCCUGGAGAGCAACGCCGUUUGUUACUUGUUUUAUUGCAGUGUCUCUUAUUGUUCUUUUCCUGCUCUGAUGAUAAUUCAGAGUCUAGCAUUAAAACAUUUCUUACACCUUGUUCUGAUUUCAAAAUCCGACCAUUUCAGCUACGUUCCAAGGGAACGUAGAAAAUGAC